UACGGGAGGCAUCAGUGGGGAAUAUUGCACAAUGGGCGCAAGCCUGAUGCAGCCAUGCCGCGUGUAUGAAGAAGGCCUUCGGGUUGUAAAGUACUUUCAGCGGGGAGGAAGGCGGUGAAGUUAAUAGCUUCACCGAUUGACGUUACCCGCAGAAGAAGCACCGGCUAACUCCGUGCCAGCAGCCGCGGUAAUACGGAGGGUGCAAGCGUUAAUCGGAAUUACUGGGCGUAAAGCGCACGCAGGCGGUCUGUCAAGUCGGAUGUGAAAUCCCCGGGCUUAGCCUGGGAACUGCAUUCGAAACUGGCAGGCUAGAGUCUUGUAGAGGGGGUAGAAUUCCAGGUGUAGCGGUGAAAUGCGUAGAGAUCUGGAGGAAUACCGGUGGCGAAGGCGGGCCCCUGGGACAAAGACUGACGCUCAGGUGCGAAAGCGUGGGGAGCGAAACAGGGAUUAGAUAACC
rnacentral:rRNA from 1 species